GGUUGUGUUGCAACGGGUGUGCACAAAUCACCCACUAAGAAAUGUUGCUGAUCCCAGAGGAGAGAUUCAGCUCGGCAAAAUAUCCCAUUCCAGGAAAAUUGUCUCUUCAUCUCUGGGUUAUGAUGCACGAGUGUCUUUACUGCUUAGCUACAGGAAAAGCAGAUUUCUGCUGUGACAUUUUUAUUCAGCAUCAUGGCCAGCUGGAAAAAUCCAUUAUAGAGGCAGAAUUGUGGACCAGAUGGAAGUUUACCCUGACUUGGUAGGGCCACCUCUGUGUUACUGCAGUGAAACGCAAAUAUCAGACUUCCAGAAUAUGGAGGUUUUUCUUCAUAAGGACAGACCAACAAAAUCAAAAUGUGAUUGAACUGAAACAUCAUGCAUAAUGUUAGUAUUAUGUAAAACAACUUUUUGAAACCAUAGCCAAGAAAAUGAAUGAAAAUAAAGUAUAUCCUGUAUUUUUGGCUUCCCUAGGG
rnacentral:lncRNA from 1 species